rnacentral:lncRNA from 1 species
GCCCCUGCAGCUGGCUGGGCCGCUUCCUCUUGCCACGCGGGGGGACCUGUGCCCGCGGCCGUGCACCUCCGUGUACGCUUCUGCUCCUCGGACCCCAUCGGUUCAGACGCGGAUUUCCGAGAACGAGACCAGAGUCUGCGUCUGGAGAGCCUUUGCCCCUCAUCUUAGGAAGAGUCUAGUCUGAGAACAAACAGUUUGCCAACUCCUACCCCGAGCUCUUGCGCGUAUCUCCUUAAAUAUUUCAAGGGUCUGGGCCCCAGAUGGGUGCUCGGAAAGCAAACGAAGGGUCCAGGGAGGCCGAGGCCAACGCGGAGCUCAGCGCCCCCUUCUUGCCUGAAGGGGCGCGCUGGAGGAGGAAGGGCGCGGCGGAGACGCAGAAGGCGGUUCCUUGGGGGCAAAGCAGGAGCCAGUCUGGGGCCUACCCCUUCUCGCCCUGAGGGAUUCUGUCCUGGAGAGAACUGUAAUUGCCCAGGUCUGUGUAAGCAAUCUGGUCUGUGGGUUCAAAGCCAGUGUGAACCCCACGUUCCCGAGACCUCUUUGCCCCAACCAAGUACAGCGAAGUUUUGAAGCUCAGUAGAAAAUGACUAAAAAACAGUCCAAACUCCAAAAUGAUAAAAACAAGUACACCUACAAGGAUAAUCUUCUGCAACAGAACAUUUUCUUGUUCUUCCCCACCCCAUGAGUGUUUUAGUCCACAGCUGACUGGGAAUAGACUGAACGCUAUUUUGUACUAUGCUUCUCUCAGGAAGAUAGAGGCAUAUCAUGGAGGCUGGCCGUGGGUUGGUGCCUUGGCAGAGACCAGUUUCUGUUUCUUCUGUUGUUCCUUCAAUAAGAAAAUAGCCCUAGAAAUUUUGGGAGAAUGAAUGGGGCGAAGGCAUGGCAUGUCUUUUUUG